UACGGAGGGUGCGAGCGUUGUCCGGAAUCACUGGGCGUAAAGGGCGCGUAGGUGGCCCGUUAAGUGGCUGGUGAAAUCCCGGGGCUCAACUCCGGGGCUGCCGGUCAGACUGGCGAGCUAGAGCACGGUAGGGGCAGAUGGAAUCCCCGGUGUAGCGGUGGAAUGCGUAGAGAUCGGGAAGAAUACCAGUGGCGAAGGCGUUCUGCUGGGCCGUUGCUGACACUGAGGCGCGACAGCGUGGGGAGCAAACAGG
rnacentral:rRNA from 1 species